rnacentral:rRNA from 1 species
GAUGAACGCUGGCGGCGUGCUUAACACAUGCAAGUCGAACGAGAAGUGAAGACGGAAACCUUCGGGCGGAAGGCUUUAUUUCGAGUGGCGGACGGGUGAGUAACGCGUGGGUAACCUGCCUCAUACAGGGGGAUAACAGUUGGAAACGACUGUUAAUACCGCAUAAGACCACAGCACCGCAUGGUGCGGGGGUAAAAACUCCGGUGGUAUGAGAUGGACCCGCGUUCGAUUAGCCAGUUGGCGGGGUAACGGCCCACCAAAGCGACGAUCGAUAGCCGAUCUGAGAGGAUGACCGGCCACAUUGGGACUGAGACACGGCCCAAACUCCGACGGGAGGCAGCAGGGGGGAAUAUUGCACAAUGGGGGAAACCCUGAUGCAGCGACGCCGCGUGAGUGAAGAAGUAUUUCGGUAUGUAAAGCUCUAUCAGCAGGGAAGAAAAUAACGGUACCGGAGUAAGAAGCCCCGGCUAACUACGU